rnacentral:rRNA from 1 species
CCCACCGCGGUUAUACGAGAGGCUCCAACUGAUAGCCCACGGCGUAAAGCGUGAUUAUAGGAUGCUGCCCCAACUAAAGUCAAAAUCUCCCUAAGCCGUCAUACGCACUUGGGAGCAUGAAGCCCCUCCACGAAGGUAACUUUAUAAUUCACAGCCACCCUGAACUCACGAUAGCUAAGACACAAACUGGGAUUAGAUACCCCACUAUG